rnacentral:lncRNA from 1 species
UACUUCUGUAACUCACCUACCUAGUAACCUCUUCUUUCAACAUUUGCUUUUUCUUAAGUGGGUCUGGAGAUGUCAGAACUCCUCUGUCUUGCAAGUUCGCACUCAUCCUACCAAUUCUUUGCUUUUUAUGAUGUGGAGGCGUAUGAAGAAUUACCUUCUACCAACCCGUUCUCUGUUCCAUUGGAAAAUAAUGCAAAAGAGAGAGAGAUGUACGUGUAUGUUCAUAAGUGGGAAGAUAACUUGUGAAACUCUUUUGUACUGGAUCAGAAUCGGUUACAGAAAAGAGUUUCAAGGAAGGAAACUGUCAUAUUUAUUCACUCUCGAGCAUCAUGGAAGCCAUCUGUGCUACAGCAAGGUCCUGGAAGUUAACAAUCAAGAACUCCACCUGCAUGGAUACAGGAUGAGGUGAAACAGCCAGAAACUGGAGCAUAGGAAGUUCUGCAUGGAUGUGCACAAGAACUUCUUUAUGGUGAGGGUGACGGAGCACUGGAUCAGGCUGCCCAGGGGGGUGUGGAGUCUCCUUCUCUGGAGAUAUUCAAGUCCCACCUGGACGCCUACCUGUGUGACCUGGUGUAGGGAACCUGCUUUGGUAGGGGGGUUGGACUCAAUGAUCUCUGGAGGUCCCUUCUAACCCCUAUGAUUUUGUGAUAACCAAAUCCAAACACUAACCAUCCCCAUAUGCCCGCUAAUCAUGUCCCUCAGUGCCACAUCUCCAUGGUUCUUGAACACCUCCAGGGACAGUAACCACAUAACUUCCGUGUGCAGCCCAUGUUCAGCCCAGCCCCUGCAAUGAGCAACCCAUGUCUGUGCCUUUCCCAGGAGACCACAGGUGGGUUCUUGAUGGUUAACUUCCAGGAACUGAAAUUAAUACUGACUAUAGAAACUGUCGAGGGGGGAAAAAAACAAACAAACAAAAACCAAACCCUGCCCUAAAGCUUUUGAAGUCCUUUUUGGAGAAGACCUAUUAUCUUUAAAAUGCUCAGGAGUGGAGAAGAAAGGGAGAAAGGAGCAGAGGGACUGGCAGCAACCCUCAACAAGUACAGAAUAACCCCAUGAUUAUUGGCUUUUGUGGCUGCAUUUUU